rnacentral:rRNA from 1 species
GACGAACGCUGGCGGCGUGCUUAACACAUGCAAGUCGAACGGAAAGGCCCUGCUUUUGUGGGGUGCUCGAGUGGCGAACGGGUGAGUAACACGUGAGUAACCUGCCCUUGACUUUGGGAUAACUUCAGGAAACUGGGGCUAAUACCGGAUAGGAGCUCCUGCUGCAUGGUGGGGGUUGGAAAGUUUCGGCGGUUGGGGAUGGACUCGCGGCUUAUCAGCGUGUUGGUGGGGUAGUGGCUUACCAAGGCUUUGACGGGUAGCCGGCCUGAGAGGGUGACCGGCCACAUUGGGACUGAGAUACGGCCCAGACUCCUACGGGAGGCAGCAGUGGGGAAUAUUGCACAAUGGGCGGAAGCCUGAUGCAGCAACGCCGCGUGCGGGAUGACGGCCUUCGGGUUGUAAACCGCUUUCGCCUGUGACGAAGCGUGAGUGACGGUAAUGGGUAAAGAAGCACCGGCUAACUACGU